rnacentral:rRNA from 1 species
UACGUAGGCAGCGAGCGUUGUUCGGAGUUACUGGGCGUAAAGAGUGCGUAGGCGGUUUUCUAAGUUUGGUGUGAAAUCUCCCGGCUUAACUGGGAGGGUGCGCCGAAGACUGGAAGGCUUGAGUAUGGGAGAGGUAAGCGGAAUUCCUGGUGUAGCGGUGAAAUGCGUAGAUAUCUGGAGGAACACCGGUGGCGAAGGCGGCGUUCUGGACUGCAACUGACACUGAUGAACGAAAGCCAGGGGAGCAAACGGG